GUGUCUCAUAACACCAGCUGGUAAAGCUCUGUCUGGAUGAGGGAAUGUUGUUGUGUCUCAUAACACCGGCUGGUAAAGCUCUGUCUGGAUGAGGGAAUGUUGUUGUGUCUCAUAACACCGGCUGGUAAAGCUCUGUCUGGAUGAGGGAAUGUUGUUGUGUCUCAUAACACCGGCUGGUAAAGCUCUGUCUGGAUGAGGGAAUGUUGUUGUGUCUCAUAACACCGGCUGGUAAAGCUCUGUCUGGAUGAGGGAAUGUUGUUGUGUCUCAUAACACCGGCUGGUAAAGCUCUGUCUGGAUGAGGGAAUGUUGUUGUGUCUCAUAACACCGGCUGGUAAAGCUCUGUCUGGAUGAGGGAAUGUUGUUGUGUCUCAUAACACCGGCUGGUAAAGCUCUGUCUGGAUGAGGGAAUGUUGUUGUGUCUCAUAACACCGGCUGGUAAAGCUCUGUCUGGAUGAGGGAUUGUUGUUGUGUCUCAUAACACCGGCUGGUAAAGCUCUGUCUGGAUGAGGGAAUGUUGUUGUGUCUCAUAACACCGGCUGGUAAAGCUCUGUCUGGAUGAGGGAAUGUUGUUGUGUCUCAUAACACCGGCUGGUAAAGCUCUGUCUGGAUGAGGGAAGGUUGUUGUGUCUCAUAACACCGGCUGGUAAAGCUCUGUCUGGAUGAGGGAAUGUUGUUGUGUCUCAUAACACCGGCUGGUAAAGCUCUGUCUGGAUGAGGGAAUGUUGUUGUGUCUCAUAACACCAGCUGGUAAAGCUCUGUCUGGAUGAGGGAAUGUUGUUGUGUCUCAUAACACCGGCUGGUAAAGCUCUGUCUGGAUGAGGGAAUGUUGUUGUGUCAGAAGGACAUCAAAAUGUCACAUAAGUAUGUGACUUGUAAUUAUAUAUUUUAGAUGUUUAUAUUCAUACGCCAGAUGUCGUUUGUAAGCCUAGUUUUUGUUCUCUCAAAGUGUUCAGUUGGAUGGAUUGUGCAACAGGUGAUGGUUAUCUUUUGGGUUUUUUCCGACAGCAAAAUGUGCUCACUAUAACAUGAAGUGUAUGGAGCAAUGUUUGGUUUGGAUCUGAAAUUAAUGGAUGAUGAAAAUAAACAUGGUCAGUUGUUGCA